ensembl:snRNA Gm24594 predicted gene, 24594
AGCUUUGCGGAGAGGCAGUAUCCUAGCCAAUCAGGUUUAUCUGAGGUACGAUUAUUGCUAAUUGAAAAAAUGAAUUUUUGAAAUUCUUAGGCAAAUGGA